rnacentral:rRNA from 1 species
UACGAAGGGGGCUAGCGUUAAUCGGAUUUACUGGGCGUAAAGGGCGCGUAGGCGGCCUCCGCAAGUCAGUUGUGAAAUCUCCGGGCUUAACCCGGAAAGGUCAACUGAUACUGCGGGGCUAGAGUGCAGAAGGGGCAACCGGAAUUCUCGGUGUAGCGGUGAAAUGCGUAGAUAUCGAGAGGAACACCUGCGGCGAAGGCGGGUUGCUGGGCUGACACUGACGCUGAAGUGCGAAAGCUAGGGGAGCGAACGGG